AGUGAACGCUGGCGGUAGGCCUAACACAUGCAAGUCGAACGGCAGCACAGUAAGAGCUUGCUCUUACGGGUGGCGAGUGGCGGACGAGUGAGGAAUAUAUCGGAAUCUACUUUUUCGUGGGGGAUAACGUAGGUAAACUUACGCUAAUACCGCAUACGACCUACCGUUGAAAGCAGGGGAUCUUCGGACCUUGCGCGAUUGAAUGAGCCGAUGCCGGAUUUGCUAGUUGGCGGGGUAAAGGCCCACCAGGGCGACGAUCCGUAGCUGGUCUGAGAGGAUGAUCGGCCACCUGGGAACUGGGACGCGGUCCAGACUCCUGCGGGAGGCAGCAGUGGGGAAUAUGGGGCAGUGGGCGCAAGCAUGGUCCAGCCAUACCGAGUGGGUGAAGAAGGCCUUCGGGUUGUAAAGCCCUUUUGUUGGGAAAGAAAAGCAGCAGGUUGAUACCCCGCUGUUCUGACGGUACCCAAAGAAUAAGCACCGGCUAACUUCGUG
rnacentral:rRNA from 1 species